ACAUAUAAGCACCUCCUCCGCCAAUUUGCGACCAGAGAGCGUGUCGGCGCGCGUGGACAUGACAUCUCUCUCCCAACAACUUGCGACUCAACGCUCUUCCCAUUUUCCAACAGAUACCCUGACCAAACAUCAAACACGUCCAGUGAUCCUCCAGAUGAACACAAAUCCCCUUGCGGAAGAAGCACAGUCAUCAAGUUUACUAUUUAAGGAUAAUGUUUCCUUUCCCCUCUGAGCACUUUUGAUUCUCAUACAGGACUAUAAUUAUAGUUGGGAAUAUACUUUUCCGACUUUUGGAUUUUCAAGCGAUCACUGCUCCUCACGCUUUAAUUUACGCGCAAGGAUGACGCAAAGGUACGAUGAAUUGGCUCAUUACGGAGGCGGGAUGGAUGGAGUUGGAGUCCCGACGUCCUUGUACGGAGACCCUCACGCCCCGCGGCCCCUACCCCAGGUCCACCAUCUGAACCACGGGCCGCCCCCGCAUCCCACCCAGCACUACGGGGCCCACGCACCGCUUAGCAUCAUGCCAGCCAGCAUGGGCAGUGCCGUCAACGACGCGCUGAAAAGAGACAAGGACCAGAUUUAUGGCCACCCUUUAUUCCCGCUCCUUGCCCUGGUAUUCGAGAAGUGCGAGCUGGCGACGUGUACGCCCAGAGAACCCGGGGUGGCCGGCGGAGACGUCUGUUCCUCUGACUCCUUCAAUGAAGACAUAGCAGUGUUUGCCAAACAGAUCCGCGCAGAGAAACCGCUAUUUUCUUCGAACCCUGACCUGGAUAAUUUGAUGAUUCAAGCCAUCCAAGUAUUGCGGUUUCAUCUCCUGGAGUUAGAGAAGGUCCAUGAGCUUUGUGAUAACUUCUGCCAUCGGUACAUCAGCUGCCUGAAAGGCAAAAUGCCCAUCGAUCUGGUCAUUGAGGAGCGGGAUGUCUGCAAGUCGGACUUUGAUGAUCUGUCAGGAUCUUCCACAAACCUUGCGGAUCAUAACCCAGCAUCCUGGAGAGACUUGGAUGACGCCCACUCCACACCCUCGGUAGGAACCCCUGGACCUUCCAGUGGGGGACACGUCUGUCAGAGUGGAGACAACACCAGUGAACUGGGAGAUGGGCUUGACAAUAGUCUGGCAUCACCAGGAACAGGAGAUGAAGAUGACCAAGACAAGAAGAGGCAAAAGAAAAGAGGCAUCUUCCCUAAAGUGGCUACAAACAUAAUGAGAGCAUGGCUAUUCCAGCACCUUACACACCCGUACCCUUCAGAAGAACAGAAGAAACAACUUGCACAAGAUACAGGCCUCACCAUUCUACAAGUCAACAACUGGUUCAUCAAUGCAAGAAGGCGAAUAGUCCAGCCUAUGAUUGACCAGUCCAACAGAGCAGUGAGUCAAGGUACAGCUUACAGUCCAGAUGGCCAACCAAUUGGAGGCUUUGUCCUCGAUGGCCAGCAGCAUAUGGGUCUCCGACCCGGAGGUGCAAUGGGGGGCAUGGGUAUGAACAUGGGCAUGGAUGGGCAGUGGCACUACAUGUAAACCCAUACCACCGAGGCCAGCCUCAACAACAGGGUGAAAAAUUUCAAGAGGCAGUGAGAUGGGAGAGUGGGGUCAUCUGCGAUCCUGGUGGCCUUGCGAGUGAGGGGGGUGUGAUAAAUGUCCAGAAGGUCGAGCCCAUCAGGCAGGAUAACCAGAGACAAAGAGGCCCGCCCGACCCAGUCCCACAGCACCGACCCAGGCGAUCUCCACCACCACCACAUACACACUACAGCCAGCACCCACUCCACACCCCCGAGUGUGGGAGGUGGACGACCCCAAAGAAGGAAGGGACGAAAAGACCCAAACCCACAAACCCCUGCGACCCACGCAUCCCACCAAGAAGAGGAAGAGGCGACUUCAGCAGGAUGCUAGGAAUGGAGAGAAGAGAAGGACCAAGGGGUGACAAAGGAUUCCAAGGAGCAACGGGGGCACCACCAACCCCACCAGUAGUCACCACAGGGGACUCAGGGGAGGGGGGUGCCAGCUGGUAGUGUCCCAGCCCCACUAAACAUGGGCGGCUCACAACCACAGCAUCAAUGCUCCGUGGGAGGACAAUCCAGUGGUUCCCCCCCUCCUCCCCCUGAAACAAGAAAAGAAAGUCACAGCGCCACAGACAUCAGAAUUAUAAACACAGGGACAACAAGAGAAGAUUCCUAUUCAAUCCAUGUGUCCUUUAACUAUGCAAAUCAGCAAAUUGGUCUGAAAUGUGAGAAAGAAAAAGGAUAGAUAAGCAAAAUAAAUAAUAACAUGAACUAAUAAGACAAAUAAGUACAUCGAUGAAUAAGAAAAAAUAAAGAAUGACAAACAGAAUAAUAAUAAAACAGCAACCUCGACAUCAAAGAAUACAGAAUUCAAGUUUACUUUUCCUGUGACAAAACCCUUAUUGUCAGAUGGCGCACUACCCAGGCAAAGAAAUGAAGAAUCUAGAUUUAGCAUGUUGAGGAAUGGUGACCAGCUAUUUACACAGAUAUGUAAAUGUUUUACUUCAUUCUGCUGAUAUAUUUUCUAGCGAUGUUAACAGCAUGCUUGUUUUUCCAGUUAGACAAAGUUGUUUUCCUAGUGGUAGCUGACACGACAAGUAAUGCUAGUGAAUAUUUGUUAGGUUGAUUGUCACCAAGUCUGCACAAUCUUAGUGAAAGCAGAUUCGUGAAAUUCAAAAUCGGUUAGGUUCCUCUACCCCUCCCCAAUCCCGCAAAUAGUGAAAAUCCAGGAAUAAUGG